rnacentral:rRNA from 1 species
AAAACAUAGCCCUCAGAUAUUAUUGAGGGUUAAACCUGCCCAAUGUUAUAAAAUAUGAAUGGCCGCGGUACCCUGACCGUGCUAAGGUAGCGUAAUCAGUUGGCUUUUAAAUGGAGUCAGGAAUGAAUGGGAUAACCGGGUCUGGCUGUCUCCUAUCUAAUCUAUUGAAUUUACUGUUUAGGUGAAAAAGCCUAAAUAAAGAAAAGGGACGAGAAGACCCUUAGAAUUUUUUUUAAAGGUGGUGGUUGCCUCCUAUUAUUUUGUUGGGGCGAUAGGGAAAUAUUUGAAACUUUCCUCUAAUUACAAGCCGAUUUUUUUAAGUGGGAAUAAAUUACCUGAGGGAUAACAGCAUUAUUCUAAAAUUGAGUUUGUGACCUCGAUGUUGGACUAGGGAACUAACAGGCUAGCCGUUUGUUGUGUGGGUUCUGUUCGAACUUUAAUCCCU